CAGUGAGUACAGAAACUCCUUCCUUAAGUCUGACGAGGGAAGGAGUUUCUGUACUCACUGAGAAUUGAUAUUUCCGUAACUUUGCCACUCCUCUACAAGAUUCAAUCACUAGGCCAAAAAAAAAAAAAAUAAAGCAAUUGCUAAUUUGCUAUUAAUCGUUGAUUAGGGAUUCGUAAUCAAAUAUUAAAAUAUACUGAGCUACGUCACUCUCCUAACGCACGCAGGAAAGGAAAGCCCAAAUCUACACAUUCACAGACACUGAUGAAUUUACCGAAUCCUAAAACAAACCCUUAAACCUCCUGACAAGUGUGCGCCUCAGUAAGCCCAAUGUACGCAAACCACAGCUCUUCCACGCUCCUCCAACCCCUAAAAUGCCGAUUCUGCUGAUUCCAUACCCUUCCAACCCUAAACACAGAACUAGAACGCGACGAAGAAGACCCCGGAAUGGCCAAACACCCCGUCGUUUGCCUCCCGUUGCAGAAGCGAUGCCUCUUUGCUCUCCUCAUCAUGCUUUCUAUCUCCACUGUUAUCGCUUUCCUCAUCAAAGCCGCUUUCGAUUCCUGCGAUCGCCGCUUGGAAGUUGCUCAGAAACCGCUUCGCUCCUUCUCCAAUGCUUUGUCAGUCAACACGCCUCCUAAUCCUCUUACUUUCAUGAAGUCUAAGCGCGUUCUCUUGGUCUCGCAUGAGCUUUCUCUGUCAGGUGGACCAUUGUUGUUGAUGGAAUUAGCUUUUCUACUAAGAGGUGU
rnacentral:misc_RNA from 1 species